CACUUCUCAGGGUCAUACCUGGAGAGUUCCCAGUACCCUACCAGUCUUGGCUGUGGGAGGGAGAUUCAAGCAGAGGCAAACCCAUUCCAUUCCUAGCUUGGGCAAUGGCUAGCGAGAGGAAGGCAAUCUGCUACAAGU